AAUUCUUAAUAAAGACAGAGUC
rnacentral:misc_RNA from 1 species